CCCGCCUACGGGAGGCAGCAGUAGGGAAUAUUGCUCAAUGGGGGAAACCCUGAAGCAGCAACGCCGCGUGGAGGAUGAAGGUUUUCGGAUUGUAAACUCCUUUUGUUAGAGAAGAUAAUGACGGUAUCUAACGAAUAAGCACCGGCUAACUCCGUGCCAGCAGCCGCGGUAAUACGGAGGGUGCAAGCGUUACUCGGAAUCACUGGGCGUAAAGAGCGCGUAGGCGGGAUAGCAAGUCAAGGGUGAAAUGCCACGGCUCAACCGUGGAACUGCCUUUGAAACUGUCAAACUGGAGUAUGUGAGAG
rnacentral:rRNA from 1 species